UACGGGGGGGGCAAGCGUUGUUCGGAAUUACUGGGCGUAAAGGGCUCGUAGGUGGCCAACUAAGUCAGACGUGAAAUCCCUCGGCUUAACCGGGGAACUGCGUCUGAUACUGGAUGGCUUGAGUUUGGGAGAGGGACGCGGAAUUCCAGGUGUAGCGGUGAAAUGCGUAGAUAUCUGCAGGAACACCCGUGGCGAAAGCGGCGCGCUGGACCACUACUGACGCUGAGGAACGAAAGCUAGGGGAGCAAACAGG
rnacentral:rRNA from 1 species